rnacentral:tRNA from 1 species
UAGCUCAGUGGUGGAGUGCUUGCCUAGUAUGCAUGUGGCCCUGGGUUCAAUCCCCAG